UCUCAAGAAAAGAAUUUUAGUCCAACCUAAAGUAUAACACAUGCACAUAAAUCACCCCCCUACUUUAGAGCAAUUCAAAUAAGGUACAGCCUAUUUGAUACAGGACCCAACCUUGACCAAUGGGUAAUACCCAAUACACGUCUACAAGUAGGCCUAAGAGCAGCCACCUUUUAAAAAGNCGUCAAAGCUUAACCAUGUUUAUUCCAAUUCCUCAACCCCCAUCGACCCCUUCAACUGUACUGAGAAUUUAUAUACUAUUAUAGAACCUUUUAUGCUAAAACUAGUAACAAGAGUUAACCCCUCUCCACAAUGCAAGUAUAAGCCAGCGAGAACCCACCACUGGCAACUAACAGACCUAAACAAAAGUAGCAACCUUACUAGAAAACUCUACUCUACUCAACUGUUAACCUAACACCAGAGCAUUCCAAGAAAGAUUAAAAGAAAAAGAAGGAACUCGGCAAAUAUUAGCCCCGCCUGUUUACCAAAAACAUCGCCUCUUGCCCAUAUAAGAGGUCUAGCCUGCCCAGUGACUCUUGUUCAACGGCCGCGGUAUCCUAACCGUGCGAAGGUAGCGUAAUCACUUGUCUUCUAAAUAGAGACCAGUAUGAAAGGCAUCACGAGAGCUAAACUGUCUCCUUUCCCUAAUCAGUGAAUCUAAUCUCCCCGUGAAGAAGCGGGGAUUCUUAUAUAAGACGAGAAGACCCUAUGGAGCUUUAAACAUUACAACACCUGCACCACACCUAUACUUACCCAGGUAUUCCCCCUUACAGCACGCUGAUUGUAUGUUUUUGGUUGGGGUGACCGCGGAGAAAAACUAAUCCUCCGCAAUGAAAGGGACUUUCCCUAAGCAACAAGCCACAACUUUAUGUAUCUAUAAAUUGACAUUCAUUGACCCAAUACAUUGAUUAACGAACCAAGUUACCCUAGGGAUAACAGCGCAAUCCACUUUAAGAGCCCCUAUCGACAAGUGGGCUUACGACCUCGAUGUUGGAUCGGGGUAUCCUAGUGGUGUAGCCGCUACUAAAGGUUCGUUUGUUCAACGAUUAAAACCC
rnacentral:rRNA from 1 species